AGAGCCCUAAAAAAGUAGAGUGGAAACGGAGGGGAGGAAGCGGCUAUGGCGACGGCAGCUCGUUCCAUCGCUUCAAAGCUCGCGCGCCCGGCAUCCUCGCCUCACCAGAUCAUCCCACGCCGGAUGAUGUCCGCGGGAGGUAUGGGCAAAAUCUUUGAGAACAUCUAGAGCGAGCGGUUUGUUCGCUUUUCCAGGGCACGACGAUGUGCACAGAGUGAAUUGGUACCAGGCGCCGCUCAGCCCCAUGUCUUGGAAGGAGCACCAAGUAAGAAAUCGUGAUUUCCCCUUUCCAUCGAUCGAUCGAGCCAUUUCUUUUCUUUCCCCUUCUUAGAUUGUGCUUGGAGUGAUCUUUGGAUGGGGAGUUGUGGGCUACAGUGGAUACAAGUUUUUCACCAGGAAGAAGUAAGCUUUGUGGAGGUGGAGUUUGGAGUUUGGAGUUUCUUUUUUUCUUCUCUCUUUGUUCCAUCUCUUUGAGAAUAACGAGUGGACAUGAAACUCUGGAGAACGAAGAACUCCAAGAGCUUUUUCGUUUAGCCAGUGUUGCACUGCCAUUCUCGGCUAUCGAUUUCUUUGAGCAGUGCUUUUUCCAGCUCGAGCUCAUGGAUGAUCUCGUCAUAUAUCUUGUCUUCUUUAUCACCUGAGUGAGUAUCACAAAGAGCUCAGCGGAUAGAAAUCAUACCGACGAUUACUUCCACAGAUUUUAUAUACUUUUGGUUGAUGAGAACUUGAGAGAUCAAUCACCUGCUGGAGUUUGGAUCGUCACGAUAAACCCCUUUUGCCUUAGCUCGAUCUCGGCAGCCUCUCGGUUGUAAGUCUCAACCUCGAAACUCAGAGGCUCGGGUGGCGCAUCUCCCUGUAUAACCAAGAACGUUUAGCGAGCUUCCCGAAACGAAACGAAAAGU
rnacentral:lncRNA from 1 species